GCAGUGGUAGGCAUUAUAAAAGCGGCCGCACGUGAACUGGGUCCACAUGGGAUAAGGGUGAAUGGGGUGUCGCCCUAUGGAAUAGCGACGCCCCUUGUGACUAAGGCGUAUGGACUGGAUGCGGCUCUAUUGGAAGAAGCAAUUUACGGUAAUGGACACUUGAAAGGAGUUAAGUUGAGCACGAUGCAUGUAGCACAAUCAGCACUUUUUUUGGCGUCUGAUGAAUCUGCUUAUACAAGUGGUCAAAAUUUAGCUGUUGAUGGUGGACUAAGUUCUAUUUUGAAGCUACAAUAAAUUGUCACGCUAUUUGUGUUGGCGUGCUGUGGCGUGGGCCUUAAUCCUCACUCUCUUGUGUCUGUACUUCUG
rnacentral:misc_RNA from 1 species